GAUGAACGCUGGCGGCGUGCCUAAUACAUGCAAGUCGAACGAGGUGCUUUUGUAGCAAUACGAGAGUAUCCUAGUGGCGAACGGGUGAGUAACGCGUUGGUGACCUACCCCAAAGUGUGGAAUAACAGUCCGAAAGGAUUGCUAAUACCGCAUGUGGUUAUCGGGUUUAGAAACUGAUAACUAAAGGAGCAAUUCGCUUUGGGAGGGACCUGCGUCCCAUCAGCUAGUUGGUGAGGUAAUGGCUCACCAAGGCUACGACGGGUAGGGGACCUGAGAGGGUGACCCCCCACAAUGGAACUGAAACACGGUCCAUACACCUACGGGUGGCAGCAGUAGGGAAUAUUGCACAAUGGGCGAAAGCCUGAUGCAGCAACGCCGCGUGCACGAUGAAGGCCUUCGGGUCGUAAAGUGCUCUUCUGGGAGAUGAGAAAGGACAGUAUCCCAGGAAUAAGUCUCGGCUAACUACGUG
rnacentral:rRNA from 1 species